rnacentral:tRNA from 1 species
AAUGAAGUGUCUGAUUAAAGAGUUAUUUUGAUAGAGUAAAACACGUAUAAAAUACCUUCAUUA